GGGGCUCGGCGGAGUCAGUGCGAGGGAAAUGCGGAGCGGGGAGAGCCGUGCCGGAGCCGAGAAGGCGCGCUGUGCCCCCGUCACCCCAUUAAAACCCCAAAUGAACGCCCAACCGCAUCUCCUCGGUGCUGGGAGUGCGCUCGGCCCACUCUGUUCUCCAGCCUCGUUACAUGGGUUUCUGUCUCUCCUCAGCAUCCCCUUGAAUGGCAUCUACUGCACGUGAGCAUCCUCCACAGUCUCUAAGAUACUUUUGUUGUUUUUCUUUUUAAGCAUUUGUUUUUUUAAGAUGACAUUGAUAGACAUGAGGCCUAAGUCUGGAGAUGUUCUGUGGGUAGAGCUCACAUUUAUUUCAGUAUGUGGAGCAGCUUUAGGAUCUGAUCCAUGUUGAAGACAAGCACUGCGUAAUGAGGCCCGGGCAUAUAAAACAAUAUGUAUUCUAACACAGCUCGCUCAAAACAAAUAUGUUCCCUUCUCUUCAGCUGGUGUAAACAAACAAUCUCCAUUGUGCUUGGCGGGCCUCUGCUGUGCUGCCGUGUGUGAGACCAGAGCUUUGCUUCCCAGGAAUUAGGAACACAGCCUCUGACUCUGCAUCAGCAGUCCCUUGAUUAGGGCGCUGGUCCUAAAAGCCAUACUCAAGUUUGGCGCUGUCGUUAAGUGCUUUAUAGGCAGACCUUUCCAUGCUACCAGUGUGUUUACACGUGGUCUCACCUCUGAGGCCUGGGCUCGUCAGCCAAACCCAACUGGCCCUGAGUUCCAGAAUGGUUUGACUCUGUGAAAGAGCAGAGAAUUAGUGCAGUAGUUGUAGCAAUAUACUGACCUGCAAAAUCUAUCCUAUAGAUAUCUAAAUCUUCUUUUGAUGUACAUCGGCAACUAUAUGAAAAAUUACUGAUGACUUGAGGUGGGAACAUUAGCAGGGCCUACUUCAAAAGUCCCGUGUGAUAUCCAUGGACUAACGUGGAUUUGAACCCAGGUGCCGUUCUUCAGGUGUACUUUGCUUUUGUGCCGUUCAUCAGAACCGUCGCACCGCUCUAUAACUUGUGUGGAAGCAGAGUGAGCUGUUCUGGCGCUGAAACGAUUUCAUUGUUAGGCUAAGUGUUACACAGAUGGCAUUCUUAAAUGUAAAAUUCUUUUUAUGAUUCUUUCAAUUUCAUAUUUAUUUCAUUAGAUCAUUAUUUAUGUUAAAGAGACACCAUUAAUAUGAAACGUGCUCAGCUUAAAAGAGAAUGUUGAGAGGAGUCUCAGGUAUCUGAUCCUCAAUCCUUUAGUUUUUCUGUUUCACAUUUUCCUGUUUAAAAUGUUUUUUGUGUCUCUAGGUGCUAUGUGACAGAUCCAAACAAACAACAGAGGGGAAAGAGCCUCGCUUAACUGAUUAGAGGAGAGAAGCAGUGAAAGGGAAUAUGCACAAAGCGCUGCCAAGUUCACAGAGCAAAGGAUAAGACAAAAAAUAGAAUCAUUUCACUAUUUUUUUUUCUUUAUUUAGAGCGAUGUGAGGUAUUGCUUAUAAUAACAGCAGGGAAAUAAUUUUCAGACAAAAAUGUGACUUCUUAAUCAAGGGUCUCUAAUUCAAAAUAUAUUUAUUUAAUAAACAGUAAUUAUGAUAGCUGCAACUACUCAUUCAUAUCAAUAAUUCAUUCAGAAGUAAACCAUAUCAACAUAUUAGCAUUUAUUUUUCCUUUUAAUCGGCUGUGAUUUAAAAUAAAUGUAAAUCGUCAUAAUCAUUCAGCUCCAUAUGCUGGGAGAGGAAAAGUCACCUUAAACCAGAUGCAUAUUUUGAGAAAAAGAGAAGACGAGUUGUUCUAAGGAAACAACGUAUGGGGGCAGAUCUUAAGCUGGGGUAAAGAUGGGCUGCCCUCUGGAAGUCAACUUAGCUCUGAUGAUUGACACCAGCCAAAACCAGUCAGCAGUUUUAAGACCUGGAGUUUUUAGGGAGUUUUCUGUGGAUCCAUGUAUUGAUUUCCUUCUGUAAGUAAAGAGAUAAGUACAGUUUCUUCCAGUUUUAAUCAGGAAAAGGCAGUAUACACGAUUAACAAAAUUCCAACUUGAAGAUUUUUAUGUGUGGAAACAAUAGGCUGCUUUGCCUGAGUUGUAGGCCUGUGCUGCUUGUGUGAGUGUGUAUAUGUGUGGAGCUGCAUGUAUUAUUUCCCAUCCCCGUUUAGUUAGCCAAACCCUCUCCCAACUUUUACCUUUAACAACCCACCUCAUUUUGACAUCUCUUUUUAAUCUCCUGAACCCAUUAGCUCUUGUUGAAAUUACUUCUUUAUGCCCCUGGUUCAAGAUCCAGACAGCACUGUUUUGAUGCUGUGGAGCAUGACUCCAAGUGUUAGAAAACUGGUUUUUUUGCUUCAGACACAGGGAAGAAGUGAUCAAGGGCUAGGGUCCCAGCCAGUAUGUGCUACUGCUGUUAGACACUCAGUGCAUAUCUUACAGCAACAGCUCUUUCCCUUUUGCUUUCAGUAGGCGAAGCCAGGGAUCAUGCCUGGGAGAUUAAUGUGAUGAGGAUGAGCCUGCGAAGCCUUUGGUCCUCCUUGUGUGAGCCUGCUCUGCUUGCUCAUACACAGCACACCUUUGGGAACUCACUGCAUAAGGCCCUCUUGUACUGCCAUGAGCUAAGGGGAGCCAUUUUCCUGCUCCACGCAGGCUGCCCUGUGUUCUUGCUGGGGGAACAAGGCCACAACACCCUUCACCCUGAGUUCAACAGCAGUGCUUUCCAGGGGGUGCCUUGGGGCAGGAUGGCAUGAGUAGCUGGAAAGCCACAGCAGAGCCUAGCCCUGCGAAAAGGCAUUUUCACAGCCUCCCAGGUGAGUUUUGUUGUCCACACGACCGUGGCACACAGCUGGCUGUUCUCCUGCUUUCUUUCAAGGCUGGGCUCUCCGUGCUGCUGCCCUGCACUGGGCAUGCAGCCACCGGGCAGCCGAGCUAAAGUGAUACCUGACUUUUGUUCUUUUCCAGUCUCUGCAGUGCUAUACAUUUUUACAUUCCUCCAACAGUUUCUAAGGAGAAAAGUGAGUCACGUUGCUUAGUUUUCCCCAUCCUCAUAGAGAGGAGACAUGUUUCUUUUUUUCCCCCCACAAGUUAUUGUAUUGUUCCUCUUUAUGGUGUGGCUCUGAUUUAGUGCUGGAUGAAGCUCAAAAGGAGGAUUAGUGUAAAUCUAUUCCCAUAUGCUUGGAUGCAUUUCUGCACCCUGUCUGUACCAUCCUCACUGCUUUUGAUGGAAAAAGCUGGGCUAUAAACCUGAUGAGAACAGGCUUCCAUGCAAGAUGUUUAGUAUUUCCUGCUUCCACUUGGGCCAGUGAUACGGCACAUCCAGCCCCUUUCGGCCCUUCAUCUCUCAGUCAUGGUCUUGUCAGAAAUUCAGAAAAUCACUAUGGCAGAAAAUGAAUAGGGGAAUAAAAGGAAUCUGAUUUUUCUCCACUUUAAUAAUGGCUAGAUUUGGGUUUAGCUCCACCUUUGGCUGAAAUUUUGCUGGAGGAUGGGCACAGGUAGAAUGUUUUUAUUUGAACGGAAUUGGUUCAUCCAUCUUUUAGAUGAUGGCACUGAAGUGUGAGCCCAUUUUUAUGGUCCUCAGAGAGAAUCUGUGCUUCUUUUUAAGAGAUGCACCUUCUGGGAAAGGUAGGGCUGGCUAUAAAAGCCCUGAUUGUAUUGUAUUCAAGCAAACCGGGAGCGCAGGAGGGGAGGAACAGAGACAGCGAUAGAAGGAAGGAGAGAUUUUCCAAGUGUAUGAGAUGUGUUAUGCUUUGGUAUCACAGGCUUUGCUAUGCCUAAUGCUUGGGCAUUUUCUGGGUGGUAAUUGAAUUGCUUAAUAGCCAAACACCAGGCUGCACUGAACUCAGUCCUAAAACUGCAGCGCUAUUGCCAUUAAGGGGCUUUCUUCUUUACUCAUCAUUUUCUAAAGAAUUUCUCAAUAGUACUGCAAUCAGUCACUCAUUUUUUGCCGAUUCUCCUCUCCAUUACAAAUGUGUCUGAGUUUGUGAGGGAGAGGCUGUGUUUUCUCAACCAAAUCUCCCACUCCUUGGUUUAUUAAUAAACAAAAAUUAACUUACAGAUUUGACUGAAAAUACAGGCUCUUUCCAUACCUGUGUAGUCCACUGGAUGCAGGAGGAGUUUCAGCCAGCCUGGCAAAGGCACCUUUUCCACGUGCCCCAGCCGGGCUCCUGCAUUGCUCCCCGAGUUUCUCUUGCUCCAUACAAUGGCUGACAUUGUCUGCAAGGAGCAACUCAGAUUACGGCCCCCUCCAGAUGCGCUGCCCCUGACCCUGCUCCUGCCCCAGGCUGCCCACACUCUGCCCUCCCCGUAAGCACGGAGACUUCAGCUGAGCCGGCUGCUGCCUGGGAGUGUUGAUUCAGGUCUUGAGGGUGGCCUCGGAUGCAUUUUAACAGGCAGCGCAGGCACUCCACGGGGAUAACAUGGAAUGAUUAUUUUAGGGCAGAUUUUCCCCUAAAAAAACCCAUAGUUCUACAUGCACGCAGUUUGAUCUUCACACAAAGGAUUUAUAUAAGAACUCACUUCCCUCUGUCGGUUAUGAAAAAAAAGCAUGCUGGCAGGAUUUAGGGAAGUGUGCAAGCUAGAGGAUAGCUGCAGACAAAAGAGAGUUUUUCUUCUAAGAACAUCCUCACAGCUGGAGCCCUGGCAGCGCUGCUGUCAGAAUGCUGAGGUGUUAUCUGGCCGGGGCAAGGCACAGUGUCUGCUUGGCACCCUCCUGACACACAAAUUUGGCCAGCACUUGUCAGAGCACUGUUCCCUACCUGCACCCACGUGCACAAAUCUUUUCCAUUCAGUGCCUACUUUUUGGGAAUCUUAUACCCUGCCAGUAUGCUGUAUGCCAAUGAGGAGAGUAAGGGUGGAGGAAGAAACUCUUUGUGACUCCUUUACCUGCUAAAGAGAGACCAAGCUCACCUGGGCUCUCAUGAAUAACAGUGCUGCAGUGGCUCUAGACCAGCCCAAAGCAAUCGUCCCAACUCCUAGGUACCCUGAAAAAAAUAUGCCUUACAUCUCAGAGUGGAGAGACUUAAAGAUGGGUCUGCUGGAACAACGACUAAGUGGGAUGGGAAAGAUGUUCCCUUUUAGAGCCCGCACCCCCAGAAGUAUUUCUCAGGUCAGAUCAUCACCUAUGAGUAUAGCACCAUCUGACCUUGAUCUGCGCUGUGGUGAGAAGGAAAUGUGUGCAACAGUUUGAAUCUGCUCAACUUUUGUCUGUCUUGGACUGGCCCCAUUCAGCCCAUCUCUGCCUCUCUAAGGGGAGCAAGUGCCAGAUGCAAAGACAAAGCCUAACAAUACAACCUGUGUGCUUGCCUUUAAUGUAUCAUGAUGCUUAAAACUGAAUAUAAGCAGGGAUGAUGCUUUAGAUCUUACUCAAAUCUCAGUGUAACUUUGAGGUUGUCAGAUGAUACUGAAGUGAGAGAUCUAGAGUAGGAAUAUUAGUGAACACAAAAGUCAUGAUAUUUACUCAGUUUAUGCAUUUUCUCUUUUUUUUUUUCCAUGAAACUUGCAUAACUGGCGUGUAAUUGUUUUGCUAAGUGAGCCUUGAAAGCAAAAGUCUUGAUAGCUGUCAAAUAUCUUCUUUGUAGUAUAGUGUGUUGUCCUCAGAAGCUAAUCAGUAGAACUUGCUCAGAAGAACUUAAUCAGCAGAACUGAGCACAUUGUCAGUGCUUAACAAAUAAUAAAUUAUAAUAAUAACAGCAGUUCCUUUUGACACAACCUAUCAAACUUUUGCUUUAUUUCAGGGAGUGCCUUCCUUGCCUCUAGUUAAGAUUUAUACCGACUGCCGCUCUGCUUACUACGGUUGAGAGGAUGGGUGAUAUGGCCUAACAGGGUGGAAGUAUUGAUCGAAAUGAAACUUUGACAAAUGGCUGGAACAGAAUCUUGAGAAAGUUCCUUGACUGUUCCUUUCCAUUCAAAAAGAGAAUUUCAGAGUAAAUUUGAUCAGUUCAAUUGUUCAAAGGUAAAAUGCUAUGCUUACAAGUUAAUAGAAUUACUUUUGAAUUUCCCAAGUCCCUUUUAUUUUUUUUAAGAGAUACUCAUUAGGAUUUCCUUACAGAAAGGUGAACGUAUCCAACAGCACAUCUAUUAUUAUUAAUUGUUAUUAUUUUAAGGGGAUUGGAUAGCUCAGAGGGUUGUUAACAGAUCUGAGGCUAUCACUUCUUUGUCACCACUGUAAUUUGGCUCGAGCUGGGAGUUACUGACAGUCAUUUCAUUUUCUGUUUGUUUGGUGGUUUAUGUGCAAUUAGUUGUUGGGUUUUAUUCACUUCCAACAAGAUGUAUAUGCACAUUAUAAAGAAAACCACCGGGUCAGCUCUAAGCUGCUGCUAAUUGUCUCAGGCUUAAAUGGAGCCGUGUCAAUUUAUCCCAGUUGAGGAUCUGACCAAGGAUCACAACUGGCAUUAAUUAGCAGAUGUGUUAUCAGACUCCGCGGAGAUGCCCCGGGUUGAGUGACGGCAGGCCAACACCAUGCACGGUGCAGGCAGGUGGGAGCUCCAGGUCCUCCCUACAGGCACAUUGGUGGCUUCUACUGCUGCAUGGCAUGGCCAUGCCACCAGCCUUCGUGAGAAGGACCUCCACAGCAGGGUGCAGCCAGUCAUAUUAGAGCCCAAGCAAUGCAAGGCAGCUACUAAAAAUCAGGGAGGGGGGAAAAGGAAAGAGGUGUAGUGCUGGAAUGAGUCACCCUGGAGCUCGGUGUGCAUGAGACUGCUCUGCUAGUUCUAAAUGAAACCACUGACUGAUAUUCUGGGGGUACGCAUGCACCAUCUGAGCUAAUACUAGUGCUGGCUGCACAUGCGUGACAGAAGGGUGAAGGAGAUGCUGCUGAAAAUACAGGUACCCAAAGGCCACAGAACAAACCUGGUCCUCACAUUGCUCAGGGAGUAAUAUCCUCAGCCUUCACCAGCUACUGAUACUCUUUACAAAGUGGCUCAAGUUCACAGACCUCAUGCUUUUUAAUGCACUUGAAAACAUCUUCUUCUCGCUCUAAGACUUUUUUACUGUAACCCAGGAAAUGGAAAGAACAGGAGAGUGGAAGUUCAGUAGUAGCAGGAACACAGAAGUCAUAAGGCUGACCUAGACAAUGGGAAGAUGCAGAAUAUUUUAGUAACGUGCUGUAGUAACUGUCACCUGCAAAAUGUCCAUCAGCACUUCUGCAAAUUCUUUCCACCAUUCUCAACAAGAUAACAAAAGAUAACUUUUCGGACCACAAAGCUGAAACACUUCCUGUGACUCAAAUGGCUCCAGCACAGCUAUUUCCUAGAAGACAUCCUCCCUGAUUUCUUGUGGUGCCUGUUAGAUUGCUGAAGUUGCAGUGCAGAGAUAAACCAGAUACCAGAAUAGAGGAACGUUUCUCAGAAGGACCAGUGAGACAUCUCCUGACCUCUGUCUCCAUCUGAGGAUAUAUCUGGAGUAGAGCAGAGAAGCAGAGGCACCACAGACUACAGAUACCCAUGGGGAAUGUUGUUCUGCCUCAAGGUUCAGCUCUACAAUAUGGCCAUGGACCGUAUAUACCCAUAGGUUCCUGUGAGUGGGUGAAGUGGGUGAGGGUUUAGACAGAGGCUGGGAUGAGUCUGAAGGGAUGCUGAUCUGGGUGGUGGGGGACUGGGACUCCAUGGCAUACUGUCACAAAUCAAAAGAUAAGUCUAGUUACAGCCAUUCAGCCUUUGAUUUUCUCGCCUUCCUCCUAAACUAUUUUCCCAAGAACUUAUUUGUCUCAGUCUGCGUUUUCCUUAUCUGCAGACAGGGCUAUGAGGCAUACCAUACUACAAUGAAUAUGGGUACUCACUCCAUGCUGGGCUGUGGGAGAAAGUUUUGCACAGCUCUAGUAAAACAGGUGAACAGCUACAGGUUUGAAAAGCCUCCUAGCCUUCCCUGAACCUCAAAAGGCCCAGUGUAGGAUUCCUCACCCAUCCUGAUUAUCCAUAAGUAGAUCAGACAGCAUCUCAUUUCCUAGACACAAACAUUCAGCGGUGUUCUGCAGUUGCUUCAAGAGUAAAGAAAAUUCCUCCUGGCUCCUACUGAGCAGUCACUGGCAUUGGUCAACCAUAGCACACCUUGUCUUUGCCAGAAGCCAGUAUCAGACAAUAUGAAAGGGAACUGCCCCCUCCUUCCUGUGUAUGUAAAUGUAUAACAGUUUACCACGGAAGAUGAUGCCUUUCUGACUCCAUCUACUGACUAGCUUUUACCAAGAACUACUGACACUAUUACAUAAUACUUGUUAGUAAAACUCUCACAGAUUUUUUCAAGGCCAGGAACAACCAUUAUUAUCAUCCAGUCUGAUCUUCUGCAUAAUAUAUGCUACUGAAUUUAACCCAAUCUGAACUUGGUGUGUAGAUUUGCUUUUAUGUCUCAAAAUGCCUCCUCAUUUACAAAUAUGAUACUGUUUCACCGAGUACUAUCUGUGCAGCAGCAAGUUCCAUUAAUUAACUGUACAUUGUUUGGAAAAGCAAUACCUCUUAUCCGUUUGAAAUUCGAUACCUCUUCGUUUCACCUUGCAGGAUAGGAAAGGGUUUUUAUUCCUUUGCUGCUAAUUAGGUUGGAGGAUCAUGAGGACAAAAUGUUAUUUAUAUUAUAGUCGUGCUUAAGGAGAGCUCUGAUGAAGCCUGGGGAUCCCACUGCACAAAGUGAGGGAGACCGUGCAAUUCCUUCAGGACUGAGACUAUUUGAAUGGACGAAUGGCAUAUUUUCAAAGGAGCUGAACGAUUUCACCAAAACGAAUGUCAGACAAGUCAAUGGAUUCAUACUUCUCAAUCACCUAUACAUUUCUAAAAAAUCAAUCCAAAGUUUGAAGGAAAGAAAGGCAUGGAAAAACAAAGUCCCUGAAGCCAAGAUCAAGAAAUAAGUUUGGUAUGUAGUCAGUGAAAAGAAAAACGUGUUGCUAAUAUGCAGCUCUGUGUCCACUGUCCAUAGGUCACUUUGGCUUCCAGAGGCUCAUGGUCUUAAAGUCCUCCCUUUAAGAGAGCAGGGUGCACUGGGCAAAGUACAAUGUCUGCUGCAUGCACAGUCCCCAGUUCUUUUGCCCUGGGGCCAAGGACAGCUACAUUAUCUCAGGCAACAGCGGUUAUCCAAGUUUAUGGAAAGGGUUCACGUAAGAUUUGCAGUCCCAUGAGGGUCAGUCUGCCUUGAGAGAUAGGCUGGGGUUUGUGUUCUCUCUCUCUUCUCAAGGAAAUUCCCCAUCCUUUUGACUUCUAUCUUUUUUUAUUGCCAUUCUCUGGACUUCUUCUAUUUCUACUUUCUUUUUUACAGGGAUGAGGUGACCAAAUUUGAAGACAGUAUUCAAAGUGAGGAUGUGCCACUGAUUUAUAUAAUGGCAUUAUAAUAUUUUCCAUAUUAUUCUCUAAAACUCUUUUCUUCAUACAAACCCCUUAAGAUUCUUUUUAAUUCUUUGAACUAUAGUGCCUUUUAACAUCUGUAGUUUACUCUGAUCAGAUUUUGACAAAGGAAUAAAAGGCUCCAUUUUUCACAUAGAAUUUUAUUUAUUGUUUGAACUUUAGAGGAGAAAUUGGUUAACUUACAAUUUAAAAUUCUUGGCAAUGUAGACCAUUGGACAAGGAUUUCAUUAUCAGCCCUUCUGUACUUUCUGUAGAAAUGCUUAAAGUUGGUGGACAGAGUCUUGGCUAAAAAGACUUUACUUUCGUACUAUAAACAUAGCCAAAGACUUAGUUUGGAGCUGCUAGCAUCCCCAAAGAUGUCAGAGAUAUCAUUGUUCUGUACCCCCUUCCUGAUGCAGUGUGCUGGGGCCAUGCAUUGACAUGUCAUCCAGCCAGAGUUGUGCGUGUGUGCAAGCGGUACCCAAAUGCCGUGAUCUUCUCUUUACCUUACCACGUACUUCCACAGUAGGUCAGGAAAAGACCCCUCUGAAAAUGAGGUGCUUGAUGACUGCAGAGGGUGAGAAUCUUGCUCUCAUGUCACAGCUGGGCGUGAUGCCUUCAUCAGGGUAUUAGAAAAGGCUCGAGGAAAACAGUUACAUCCAUUCUAUUGCUUAAGACACUUCCUGCAGCUACUGACUCGUCUUAGAGUUACCAAUCCAAAUGCUGACCCUGCCUGACCCUACUUAUCUUUUAAAAGCUGACAAGAUCACAGCCUGAAGCAGUAUAGCCACAGGCUCAAUACUGGCUACCAAAAUGUCUGUUUAGUAUUUUCAAAAACGCUGCUCUUAAGAUUUACAAUACAAGCUGCUGGAUGUAUGGACAACACUGAAACACAACCCUGACCCCUGAACAUUCAGCCCUACUUACACAGAAAUUUGUGCCUCUCGAGGGGCCAGCACUGAGUUGCUGCAAAACAGUUAUUCCCUACCUGCAAGUGAGCUGGAAUUAAAGCAUCAUAGGGUUGUAUGCAUUCAGAUACUGGGUAAAAAUAUUUGAAAACUACAGCCUUGAUUUCAGAAUUCACUGACAACUUCUUUCAUUAGCUGCAUUACUGCUUUAACAGUAGAAAGAGUUCCGCCCUUUUUGUGUAAUAUCUUUUUUGGUUUAGUAUAGAAAAUCGUCCUAAUUCUUCUAUGACCAAAGCAGUUUUUCAUCAGAAGUUGUUUUUAGAUGAACUGUAAGUUUCUUCCCUAGCAGUGAAAGAAGCUCAUAUUUUUCUGAAUAUUUCUAAGGUUAAAUGGAUAAACACAGCUUUAAAUACUCAUGAAACACUAAGGGACCGAUCUAGUUGAGUUGUUUGUGCAUUCAUACAUGAUAUAAAUUCAUGGUUCUUGCAGGUUUUUUUUUUUUUUAACAGCAAAGAUAUGGAAAAGACAAUUGAGGUCUUAUUGCUCCUGUUGGAAACUUCUGCCGACUACAGCAAGAGUUGGACUGGGCCCAGAGAAACCAGAUACAUACAAGUUGCAAUGAGUUGGCCACACAAGCAAGGAAAAUCACAGAUAACGGAUGCACACAAAUUAGUAAUGUACCUUUUAGGUCAUCCAGUACAGCUUGCUGACACAUUGAGAUUGUCUCCUAUGGCAUAUUUUUGGUUGCUUUGGAUGACUGGAUUAAAUGUCCUAAGUAAUGCCAUUUACUUAAGGAGAGAUUGUGCUGCCCAGUAUAUCCUGUUAGAAGUCUUUUUUUCCUUUCUUAACAUCAUCAUAUUUCUCCCAGUUUUGUUCCUUUGCAAACCUCCUUAUUUCCCUUCUGCGAUGCUAUUUUUUCUCCAGUGUCUUUAGACUAAUGUGAUGUUCCAUUUAGUUAACAUUAAGUCAGUUCAUACCUAUUUAGAUCAUUUAAUCUUUUCUGAUAAAUCAGUCCUUUCAGUCUCCUGGUUAUUUUCUCAUCUCCUCUUGUCCCACUCCUGUCUGUCAGUAGCUUUUUUAGCUAUGAUAUUUUAAAGAUGUGGUGCAUUUAUCUGAACUAACGGCAGGUUGGGCACAGACUUGAGCACCCUCAAUACCUUCUCACUGAAAACCACUCAAGGGAAGGCCACUGGCACUCUGUGCAAACAAGCAGGCAGAGCAUUCUGUUCAAACCAUUUCCUUGGUAUCACCUGUUUUACUGAUCAUCAACAAAAAACAUUUAAACAUUUAGCCUAGUGAUUCAAAAACCAAACAUGGGUCACUAUAGAUUAAUUAUAUUUUUUCAUAAUGCUAGGAAAUAUAAUGGCAGAGAGGAAAAUACAUUUGUUGUUGGUAUUUUCAAACUCUUGGUCGUGGAUAUCACAAUCUAAAAUUAUGGAAGAUGUUGUCUUGUCUAGUAACUAUAUUUGGGUGCCACUGGAGUACACUGUAGAAAGUAAUUAUAUAUGUAGUCACAAGCAUAGCUGUUCACGUCAGGCAAUAAAUUCUGAUCAACAAACAACACUCCUUUAGUGCUAAAUGAAAUCUUGGCUGUAAUUGACUGUCUUUACCUUUGUGUUCUGUUGGAUUGGAGGAAUAUCAUUUUAAUCUGCUCUCUUUAAAUUUUCAUUAAGGAACGUUUCAGCUACCUGCAGCCUCGUCUGAUGAUGUUUAAUGAUAUAAGCUAGCACGUUCUUCCGUGCACCAGCAGGGGCUUCUUUAAAUUGGUCAACCGUACAGAACAUUGUUUUCGUGUUUAAUGUACUUGGAAUCAACCUUUUAAAAUAAUGAUGUCUCUACAGACAGUUUAUAUACGUAGCACACACACAUAUGUGCAUGUGUAUGUAUGCAUAUAUACGCGUAAGUGCACACAUACAUAGAGAAACACUGAUCCUAUUCACCUUCUUGAAAACAUUUCAGCUAGUAUUAGCAUAAAUGUGCUGUUAAGUUGGCAGUGUUAUACAUUUUUGUUGGAGUUUACUUCUGUAACCUAAAAUCAAGCAGAUAAGCUGUGAAACUCAUGCAGCUGAUGACAUAACGCUGGGAUCUCAUGAUGCUGAAUCUCAUAUUUCUAGGCAUAAAGGAUGGAUGUUCCUUUCUGGAAUUAUUAUGCUGCCUAUUGCAAUAUAUGUUUUCUUGUUUUCAUGUGGGCACUGAGAUGUUCAAACCAUUAAAUGUAUAUGGUAUAAUGA